UAAAAGAUUUCAUUUUUAGUACCCCCUGCUCAAUGAUAAUUAAAUAGCCGCAGUCUCCUGUGCUAAGGUAGCAUAAUCAUUUGCCUAAUAAUUAUAGGAUAGAAUGAAAGGUGAAACAUGUUAUCUUCUUUAUUAAAAAGGUUAUUUAAACUUAUCCUUUAAGUAAAAAUGCUUAAAUUAUUAGGGGGACGACAAGACCCUGACGAACUUCACUCUAUGUUUAGCUGGGGCGGCAGACAAAUUAAACCUUUUACCCAUUCUUUCCAAUUGAACCUCAAAAAUGAUAAUCAAGUUACCGCAGGGAUAACAGCAUAAUCCUUUCUGAAAGACCUUAUAAAAGAAAGACUUUGUGACCUCGAUGUUGAAUUAAAAAUCUAUUAGAGGCAGCACUCUAAUAAGAAAGUCUGUUCGACUUUUAAAUAUUU
rnacentral:rRNA from 1 species